CACGUAGGGUGCGAGCGUUGUCCGGAAUUAUUGGGCGUAAAGAGCUCGUAGGCGGUGUGUCGCGUCGGCCGUGAAAACCUGCAGCUUAACUGUGGGCGUGCGGGCGAUACGGGCAGACUGGAGUACUGCAGGGGAGACUGGAAGUUCCUGGUGUAGCGGUGGAAUGCGCAGAUAUCAGGAGGAACACCGGUGGCGAAGGCGGGGUCUCUGGGGCAGUAACUGACGCUGAGGAGCGAAAGCGUGGGGAGCGAACAGG
rnacentral:rRNA from 1 species